CUCUGCUUCAGCUGUGGGGCCACAGAAGGCAGGACUCAGUGACUGUCUCCACCAUGGCCUGGUCCCCUCUCCUCCUCACCCUCAUCGUUCACUGCACAGGAUCCUGGGCCCAGUCUGUGCUGACUCAGCCGCCCUCAGUGUCUAGAGCCCCAGGACAGAGUGUCACCAUCUCCUGCACUGGAAGCAGCUCCAACAUCGG